CUGAUGGAGCACACCGCGUGAGUGAGAAGGGUUUCGGCUCGUAAAGCUCUGUUGUUAGAGAAGAACGUGCGUGAGAGCAACUGUUCACGCAGUGACGGUAUCUAACCAGAAAGUCACGGCUAACUACGUGCCAGCAGCCGCGGUAAUACGUAGGUGGCAAGCGUUAUCCGGAUUUAUUGGGCGUAAAGCGAGCGCAGGCGGUUUGAUAAGUCUGAUGUGAAAGCCUUUGGCUUAACCAAAGAAGUGCAUCGGAAACUGUCAGACUUGAGUGCAGAAGAGGACAGUGGAACUCCAUGUGUAGCGGUGGAAUGCGUAGAUAUAUGGAAGAACACCAGUGGCGAAGGCGGCUGUCUGGUCUGCAACUGACGCUGAGGCUCGAAAGCAUGGGUAGCGAACA
rnacentral:rRNA from 1 species